rnacentral:rRNA from 1 species
UGGGGAAUAUUGGACAAUGGGCGAAAGCCUGAUCCAGCCAUGCCGCGUGUGUGAAGAAGAUCUUCGGAUUGUAAAGCACUUUAAGUUGGGAGGAAGGGCAGUAAGCGAAUACCUUGCUGUCUUGACGUUACCGACAGAAUAAGCACCGGCUAACUCUGUGCCAGCAGCCGCGGUAAUACAGAGGGUGCAAGCGUUAAUCGGAAUUACUGGGCGUAAAGCGCGCGUAGGUGGUUCGUUAAGUGGAAUGUGAAAGACCCGGGCUCAACCUGGGAACUGCAUCCAAAAACGGCGAGCUGGAGGAGGGCAGAGGGUGGAGGAAUUUCCUGUGUAGCGGUGAAAUGCGUAGAGAUAGGGAGGAACACCAGUGGCGAAGGCGACCACCUGGGCUCAUACUGACACUGAGGUGCGAAAGCGUGGGGAGCAAACAGG